rnacentral:rRNA from 1 species
UACGUAGGGUGCAAGCGUUAUCCGGAAUUAUUGGGCGUAAAGAGCUCGUAGGCGGUUUGUCGCGUCUGCUGUGAAAACCCGAGGCUCAACCUCGGGCCUGCAGUGGGUACGGGCAGACUAGAGUGCGGUAGGGGAGAUUGGAAUUCCUGGUGUAGCGGUGGAAUGCGCAGAUAUCAGGAGGAACACCGAUGGCGAAGGCAGACCUCUGGGCAGUAACUGACGCUGAGGAGCGAAAGCGUGGGGAGCGAACAGG